rnacentral:rRNA from 1 species
CCUACGGGUGGCAGCAGUCGAGAAUCAUUCACAAUGGGGGAAACCCUGAUGGUGCGACGCCGCGUGGGGGAAUGAAGGUCUUCGGAUUGUAAACCCCUGUCAUGUGGGAGCAAAUUAAAAAGAUAGUACCACAAGAGGAAGAGACGGCUAACUCUGUGCCAGCAGCCGCGGUAAUACAGAGGUCUCACGCGUUGUUCGGAAUCACUGGGCGUAAGGCGUUCGUAGGCUGUUUCGUAAGUCGUGUGUGAAAGGCGCGGGCUCAACCCGCGGACGGCACAUGAUACUGCGAGACUAGAGUAAUGGAGGGGGAACCGGAAUUCUCGGUGUAGCAGUGAAAUGCGUAGAUAUCGAGAGGAACACUCGUGGCGAAGGCGGGUUCCUGGACAUUAACUGACGCUGAGGCACGAAGGCCAGGGGAGCGAAAGGGAUUAGAUACCCCUGUAGUC